GCUUAGAGUUUGAUCCUGGCUCAGGAUGAACGCUGGCGGCGUGCCUAACACAUGCAAGUCGAACGGACUCUUCGGAGUCAGUGGCGGACGGGUGAGUAACGCGUGAGGACCUGCCUCUAGGAGGGGGAUAACAGCGGGAAACGGCUGCUAAUACCCCAUGAGCCGUAAGGUAAAAAGGAAUCCGCCUAGAGAGGGGCUCGCGUCCGAUUAGCUAGUUGGGGAGGUAAAAGCUCACCAAGGCGACGAUCGGUAGCUGGUCUGAGAGGAUGAGCAGCCACACUGGGACUGAGACACGGCCCAGACUCCUACGGGAGGCAGCAGUGGGGAAUUUUCCGCAAUGGGCGAAAGCCUGACGGAGCAACGCCGCGUGAGGGAAGAAGGCCUUUGGGUUGUAAACCUCUUUUCUCAGGGAAGAAGUUCUGACGGUACCUGAGGAAUCAGCCUCGGCUAACUCCGUGCCAGCAGCCGCGGUAAUACGGAGGAGGCAAGCGUUAUCCGGAAUUAUUGGGCGUAAAGCGUUCGUAGGCGGCCGUUCAAGUCUGCUGUCAAAGUCCGAGGCUCAACUUCGGGAAGGCAGUGGAAACUGAACAGCUAGAGGUCGGAAGGGGCAGAGGGAAUUCCCAGUGUAGCGGUGAAAUGCGUAGAUAUUGGGAAGAACACCGGUGGCGAAAGCGCUCUGCUGGGCCGAACCUGACGCUGAGGGACGAAAGCUAGGGGAGCGAAUGGGAUUAGAUACCCCAGUAGUCCUAGCCGUAAACGAUGGAGACUAGGUGUUGCCUGUAUCGACCCGGGCAGUGCCGAAGCCAACGCGUUAAGUCUCCCGCCUGGGGAGUACGCACGCAAGUGUGAAACUCAAGGGAAUUGACGGGGGCCCGCACAAGCGGUGGAGUAUGUGGUUUAAUU
rnacentral:rRNA from 1 species